GCUGGGCGGGGUGGCGCCUGCCUGUAGUCCCAGCUACUCGGGAGGCUGAGGUGGAAGGAUUGCUUGAGCCCAGGAGUUCAGGGCUGCAGUGCGCUAGGCCAAUCGGGUGUCCGCACUAAGUUCAGCAUCAAUAUGGUGACCUCCCGGGAGCGGAGGACCACCAGGUUGCCUAAGGAGGGGUGAACCGGCCCAAGUCGGAAAUGAAGCAGGUCAGAACUCCCAAGUUAAUCAGUAGUGGGAUGGCGCCUGUGAAUAGCCACUGCACUCCAGCCUGGGCAACAUAGCAAGACCCCAUCUCUU
rfam:Callithrix jacchus chromosome 1, whole genome shotgun sequence